rnacentral:misc_RNA from 1 species
GGAGUAAAAGUCGUAACAAGGUUUCCGUAGGUGAACCUGCGGAAGGAUCAUUCAUAAUAAGUGUUUUAUGGCACUUUUUUAAAUCCAUAUCCACCUUGUGUGCAAUGUCAGGGUUGAUUUUUCUCUCGAGAGGAUUAGCCCCAAACAUCAACUAUAUCUCAACUCUUUGUCUGAAAAAUAUUAUGAAUAAAACAAUUCAAAAUACAACUUUCAACAACGGAUCUCUUGGCUCUC